rnacentral:lncRNA from 1 species
GCGGUGGCGGCUCUACCUGGGAGCGGCGCGGUUCCUAGGGUUGGGGAGAAGGGGGCGCUGCCUCCCUCAUGGGCCACGGCCUGGGCCUUGGCGACUUGGGCCGUAGGUGAAGGGGGACGAGUGAGCUGGGGGCAAGACGCGCUGGCGGGCCGUGGUGCUGCGUCGCUGGGCCUUGCGCGCGAAAGGGCCAAGCAUGGAGGAGGGAGGGCGCUGGUCGCGUGGGCCAAAGGGAGAAAAGAAAAGAAAAAAAAGGGUAGGAGGGGAGUAGGAAAUGGAUUUUGGCCCGAAAGAGAAGGAUUUUCCAUUUACGAACUUGACUCAAGGGCUUUGAGAGAGAAAUUUAAAAAGGGGAAAGAAUCGAGGGGGAUUCGAGAGAGAACUCAAAAAGAGAUUAAGAUGAGUUGCCAUGAAUUCAAGAUGGAUUUAGCGGUAGGGAUUUAGAGAGGAGGUCGACAAGAGAAAAGGUUUGAGAAGGGAAUUUCGGGGAGAGUUCGGAAAGAAUUCAAGGAAGUUGAGAAGGGAUUCGCUUCGCCUUUGAGAUAGGCUCAAAGAAAAUUUGAGAAGACUUCGCUAGGGAUUUAUGCACUCCAAAAGAAACUCAAAACCCUAAACAAGACCCAACUUAAGACGACUCACGAACAAAAUCACUCGCCUACAAACAAAUCUACAUGUAUGCCACGAUUUGUUAGCGGGUUAGGAUCGAGUUAGACCUGAAAACUAUAUGCUUCACACGGUUACAUGAAAAAUUUUAAAAAGCUCGUAUUUUUGGUUUUUUUUUUUGUAAAAAUCCGGGAUGUUACAGUCCACCCACCUUACAGGAAUCUCGUCCCCGAGAUUUAGGCGUUGCUCGGUCGGUGAAGAGACGAGGGUGUCGUUCUCAAAGCCUUUCUUACUUCUGAGUUGUUUCACUUUCAAUGUGAUCGCUCCACAAACUUUUUCCAAAAUGGGAGUGACUCUUGUUCCAAGUGUAUGCAAGGCUCACUUGCAGUCGUUGGGCAUCCAAAUUUUCACAUCAGGGCGAUGGGUGUCCAAGAAUCGCACGGGGUUGAUGAACAUCUGGCUCUCAAAGAGUGCAUGGCAGGCUUAAACGUAGCUAGGGUUGUUGGCUUUCAAUAGCUGUUUUUCGUGCAUCACUCUUUGCAAAAAGCUUUUGAAAGGAAUGUUUUUCGGAAAAACAGGUUUCAUAAAUGGAGUGAAAGCGAUUUUACAAAGUCAAAUGGAUUUUAAAGAGAGCUCAAACUGAAAAUAGCUUAUGGAAAGGGUUGAAAUCAGCGCAAAUUUUGAAAACCAAGUUUAUUUAUUUUAUUAUAAUUAUUAUUUUAAGAUUUUUGAUGUAAAAGAUUUCAAAUCAAGAGACUUUGAAACUCUUUUAGUUUUCUAGAUGAGGCGUUGCUCUCUUUUAUUUGAACUAAACAAACUAGUUUUGAAAAUGAUUAGAAAUCAUUUCUCUCUUUUGAAAGAUAAAGCUUUAACAACAAUAACAUUUUCUUUCAAAACUUGUAAGUUCAUUUUGUUUUUGCUAAUUUUUUUUUUGGAAGGCCGCAAACAAAAUUCUUUUCGCAAUGGUUUUUGUUUAAUAAAACACUGAAAAUUCCUUUUUCUUUUAGGACAAGGUGGAUUUUUAAAAGGAAUUUGGCUCUCGAGAUAAAAUCAAAGGUCUUUACAACAAAACUGAGCCAAAGAUCUUUGAUCUAAAAACCAUUUUGUUGAUGAAAAAGCAAGACUUUUGUUUUUCAGAAGAUGGUUGGUAACACCUUUUGAAAGAUAACUUAUUUUUAAAUAGUUUCAUAAAUAGAGUUUGGAUAAAAUUGAGUUGAGAAAAGGGUUAAAAUGGCUCUCUUUGUGAAAAUGAAAGAUAUUAAGAGAGUUUUGAAACACUUUUCCUUUUGAAACAAGGAUGCUUUUGUUAGAGAGGGGACAUUUUAACCAAAAGGAGAGAAAAUUUUGAAGACAGGUUCAUUUUGGAAGCCAAAAACAGUUUUGAAAUAGGCGAGCAUCACAUGAUGCAACAGCUUUACCUAACUUUUAACUUUGUUAGUCAGGGCCACCUAUCUAGUCUCGGGACGGUCUUAGGUUUAGCCGACUAGGUUGGACGGAAUCCAGAGUUUUUCUCGCAUAAAACAGGUUCUAUGACUUACACCCAGACAACAAGAAGCAGAAGAAACGCAACAACAUAAGAUCCAAGCACUCAAACAGCAUUACAACUCCUAAUGCAUAGUGUUGACUUGAGGCGACUCACAGACCUUCAAAGUCUCACACAACUAUCGAUCUAGCGUGGGCGGGUAUGGGAAAAGAUUCCAACGGUCAACUUUAUGAAACAGGGAGGUCAGUUAGCAGCAGAAUUCAAGGCGGAGGGGGGAAAACAAGUGUUAGCAUCUAUAACUCUACAAAAGAUAGAAUGUUUGGCUUCUAAACUAGUGUUUGGUCCUAAAGGUCUCGUCCUAGGGUCAAGUAUGGCUCUGAUACCAACUGAAACGACCUAGAUUUUUCCACAAAGGGGAAAAAUCCUCAGAUUCGAAUUAUAAUGUGAUAAUUCAGAUAUUGAGCCAUCACAUUAUCAUAUAUCAGCUGUUAUCGCAGUCAUACAUCGUGAAAAAGAAGAUUACAUCACAUUUACUUUACAACUCUUAGUUAACAAGCCUAUUACAUCGUUUUACUAGCGGAAACACACACGAAUCUUUUUCAGAGUCGAUGUAGCGCGUCAGCAGUGAGGGCUCCUCCUUCACGGGCAAUCAUCAGAGUCGGCGUAGUUUAUCAGCGGGCGUAGCCUUCAUCUCCGAACCAAACUUGAGCGCAGGAACGAGACCACCUAAUCCUUCUAUUCUCCGUAGUUAUCAUCAUAGACCACAUCCAAAACCUGCUAAACAAUUUUCAGUACGAUUUGUACUGGCCACUGGCUCCCACCCUAUGCUUUUGCUUAAGCUUUGUGGUAAGUGGAAUGCAAAGGGUAGAUCAAGAGGCCUAUAUAUAUGGCUGUAGUCUUUCCUAUGCAAGUUCAUCAAUAUUUAAUAAUAAUAUUUCAUCAAGUUUUAUUCCAUCUCAUCCACACAUCCAUCCAUCCAUCCCAUCACACACAUCUCACCACACUCUCACUCUCUAGGCGGCAAGUACGACUCCCGCUCGUGCCUUGCCUCAACGGCCAACGCCGGAUCCAACACAAACCCAGGGGAAGGUAGAAAGGACUCCUCUCACUAGUCAAGCGAAGCGGAACAUAGGAAAGGUCCAUAGCCGAGAAGACGGCAUAUGUAUCGAUCGAUCAACCAAACUCUGCAGAGGUUUACACUAACCACAAGAUCACCAUCAUCGACGAACCGGCUCGUCUAGGCUGAUACCGGGCUGCCUUCCAACUAAAUACGAUGCCACCCUACCACUCAGGACUGGGGCCAUACCGGAGUACCACCGGCAUGCUGAGACUGUGAGGCGUAGUACCGGGCCCCCAAGGGUCACUACGCUGUCUUAGGAGGGUGUGGGUCCUCAUGCCCGUACCUCCCUACACUAUCCGCUAUCAACCUAGUAGUAGUGGCACCGCACUAGCUGGUCGUACAUCCGUCCCGCACCAUAAUAAGGCGAGUGGCGUGUAAGGCUUCCUACGAACCGGUUCUCAGAACAUCUCAGUCCUUAGGGUAACCGAACAGGACAUCUUCACGAGGGGCCAGCCGAUGCCCCUCUCGACGGGACACCCGGCUACCCCGUGCUAAACAGCACCUCCCAUCCCGGUGCUUCGUCCCACGAAGACACUCCACUCCGGGACCUCUCCCUGUCACAUGUACCCGCCACAGGUAUCUCUCAUGGAGAACGCCCAGGUAGCGUUCCCCGGCAAGACUUGUCCCAAGACUCGUCGUAAAUCCUGCUCGGUCGACUCAACCCUCACCACACACCCAAGACACACGCCAAGAUCUCCCCAUAUCCAUUAUCCAUUUCUUAACCAGUUAUCGGCACACGUGCCUUAUCCACUCACAUCCAAUCCUCCACAAUGCAUCACAUCACAGAUAUAAUGCGUAGUAGAAGCAGUAGCAAGUAGUAUGCAAGCAUCUAACCUAACAGCGGGUGUGCGAGGGUUAUAGGUUGCAACAAGGCAAUGGCUCACAAGCAUUUCUACCAUGCAACCUAUCAUAGUUCAUUUGCAUAAAAGUAAAGCACUAGCAUCUAUAAUAUUGCAUGUCUAAUAGGAUUCUACGAGGUUGGGUGGGACGUGGCACCUGUCGAGUGACAUUUCCAGGAUCCUCAGUUCACUUGUAGUUGUACUCAUCCAAGGUCUUUCUCCUAUCUGCAUGUCCUUCCUUCGACUGGUUCCGAUUCGAUCAUCGCUAACCGAAGCAACUACCUCGUAAACGACAAUCAAGGCGAAACAAUCAAACCACUAGACCUAGAAAGAUCAUGAUAAGAGGCGACAAAACACUGAAGAACAACUACACUAAAAGAGCACCGAAAGGAAAACAACUUAGCCCUCUCGGCGGAUGUCCGAUCCCUGGGCUAAAAGAAACGGGAAUGGUUGUUCACUAAGUACAAGCCAGAGUCUUAGCCUAGCCGGUACUUCCCGGGUUAACUGAGUCAACCUGUACGGCUUUAUUAAAUGGCUUAGACUCUAACUCAUUCUAAGCAAACACCACAACUUACAGUCUUUCGAUCCAAGUGUCAUAGAGAUCGACAGGAAUCGAAAAGGCUAUGAGCACGGGAAGUUCCGGUCUCUCUCAAUCCAUACGCCAUUGUAGUUGGCGAGAGCCAAGAGAGGGUGGAACAAGGAGAGAAGAAAAAGGGAAGUGGUCUACUCCUUCCAAUCCACUUGCCAUGGUAAUAGACGGGGUAAUCAGAAAGAGUGACAUACAAGAACACGAGUGCUCAAACUACUUGUAGGGUACCACAACCUAGGUACACUGAAUGCACUAAGACAUCCCUAGGGUUCUUAGCAGUGCGGUUGUCACCACGAGAACCAAAGAAAUGCUACGGUCGAAUAGGUACAAGCAUACAAGAGUUUAAACACAAAGAACCAAAAAGGCGGGAAAAGACACGGGUUUCACUUCCUAUUGAUCCACUUGCCAUAGCAACAGCGGGAAUCGUAGAAAUGGAAUCAAAACACCAAACAAACAAAAGGGCUCAAUCCACAUAUUACUGGAUCUACAGGGAUUGAGAACAAGAGAGAAGAGGAAUGGAGUCCAUACUGUUUCGACCAACUCAUCAUGGAAUGAACGACGGUUGGAUGAAAGAGAUACGACCCCACGAUCCAACCCUACUCGUAGGGUACCACGACUGUGCAUCUAAUCAGCACACGGCUAUUCCUAAGGCCCGUAGCGAUGCGGUUGUCACCGCUAGGUCCGAGGGAAUGCUAUAGUCGAAGUGGUGCAAGCAUACGAGGUGGUUAGGAUAAACACGCGAGAAAUGGGGUAAAGCCGGAUGGUCAUGGCAAGGUGGACUUGCGACCAUUAGCUUCACCCAACGAGUUGGCUUCUGACUGUUCUACAAGGGUUGCUCCUAAUCUGUAUCCCACUAGACUAGAUCACAGAGAACUCGAAGGUGCGGGUAAGAACCGCGUCGUUAUGAAUAUCGAGUCCGCAAAGAUCAAACCCCAGGGACGAGGAUAGGAGCUAACAAGCGUAGCGUGACGAAGUCAACUAAACACGGGGAGACGAGUUACGCUCGGCAUCGCGAUCACGGCGGGACGAACCCACGAUCGAAAUGAUCAAACGCACUACCACUUCCCCGACCGGCUCGAAGGCUCAGUCCUCAGGCAAAUAACAAAAGAAAGAACGACGACAACCCGAGAAGGGAUAUGCUUGGCACUACGACCAUGGCGAGACAACUCGCGAUCGCAACAUUCAAACACAUCACUCUCUCAACCGGCUCGAAGGCACGGUUCACAACCAACCAACCACAUGACACAAGAACCAACGCACAAAGAACCACAAUGCCGCGACCAACACAAAGACAAAGUAGAGUAGCACAUUUCCAUAGCGACCAACAGAGAUAGAUAAACGGAUAGAUAAACAGACCGGCACGAAGGCACGGCACAGGCAUAGAAUAAAUAAUUCAUGUAUCGACAAGUAUAGAUAGAUGGAUAAAGAUGAAUCAUAUAGCAAGUGUAUGAAAGCAGAAUAGGGUUUUUGUUGGCAUCGGGAAUGACGCCAACUAGGGUUCGGGGCUCGACCUUGGAGCCGAUGGGCUGUGGUAGCAGCUGUUGUUCUUCGGAUGCAGCGAAGUGGUGGUCAUGCUUGGUCGCGCGGCUUCGUCAUUGGCCGGUGCUCGGCAAGGUGUUGCAAAGGCGAUCAGCGGUGCUGCGAGGUUCCACUCAUGGUAGCUCUAGCGUUGCGGCUUCCAUGGGAAGGUGCAGCAGGUCCGAGGCCUCCCUGUGACAGUGGUUGAACACGGCACCCAGGCCGACUGUUAGCCAAGAACCACGGUAUGGUCUUCAGAACGGAAAGAAAGGUAUGGCCUUGGCUUGAGAGCUCACCGAUGACAGAGAAGGGCUUGGCGAGGACGAGGCGAGCACGGCACUGACGAGGGGAACUGGUGGGGGCGCUGCUCGACGUCGUGGCCGCAGGGGUGGUGCUUGGCGCUCGGGUUCGCGGUCACCACGGGGUUGCUGGGUCACGACCAGCGCUGCGGACGACGGUGUCGUGGAGGAGGGCUCGGAGCAGAACUCGGUGAGGACGCAGCGUCGCGGGGUCGGGGCUCCUGCUCGGCGAGGGCGCGGAGAUCCUACUCGACGUCGAGGUAGAGGCGCGGCUUGACGGCGGCGGGUGCGCGGGGUGGUGCCGAGGACGAGGCGUGUCGCGGACACGGCGUCGCGACGGCGGUGCGCGGGGACAGGGCUCGGCGCGGCGGGGCGUCCGCGCGGCCGGCCAGGUCGGAGACGCGGACACGGAGAGGCUCCGUGCUCGCGGUGCUGGCCGAAGACGGGGCUCGGGGAAGAGCUCGCGGUUGUGCGUCGUGACGCGGCCACGGCGAGGUUGGUGUCGCAGCCUCGGCCCUUGGCGAAGGACCUCGACGUCGGGGUCGCGGGUGCGGCUCGGCGGUGCUCGGCGGCGUCGUGGCCCGGGGCGGGGUUGACGCGAGGGCGCGGAGCUCCUGAUGGGGCGCCGAGGUCCUGGCCGCGGCCGAGGCUCGUAAAGACGAGGUCGUCGCGGGGCACCGAGGCGGCUCGGCAGUGCUGUGGCGCCCGCGCGGCCAGCCGUGGUCGAAGCUCGACGCGGCGAGGGCAGCGUCGCGGCUGGCCACGGCUCGGCGAAGGUGGCUUCUGGGCGUCAUGUCAGCCGUCGAGGCAAGGGCGCCGUCGUCUCGGGCUCUCGGUGGCGCAGUGGGUGCUUGUCGCGGACAACUCAAGCGCCUGCGUCCCGGUGCGGCCGUGGCAUCCGCGUGGCCGUCCGCGGUCGCGAGUCCGCACGACGCCGCGGUCGCGGAGGACGCCGGGGCCUCGGUGGCGUCCAGGCUUGACGUGAAGGCGUUGUCGCGGCGCCGGUCAUGGAGGACAAGGCGGAGGGCGGUGGCGCUGGGUGGAGGGAACAGAGGACUGCGGCGGCGCCACUAGGGAAGAGCUCGAGGGCGUGGCGGCGGCUGGGCUCUUUAUAGGCGUCGAGGCUAGGGCUUCAGAGUGGAGGCGUUCAUCCUCGGCGUCCGUGUCCGCAGCGGGACACGCGGCGGGAAUCCUGGGCUGGCGCGGACAGGGACAGGAGGGGCGCUGGCGCUCGUGGCCUUUCCACCGAGCGGCGGCGGUGGCGGCUCUACCUGGGAGCGGCGCGGUUCCUAGGGUUGGGGAGAAGGGGGCGCUGCCUCCCUCAUGGGCCACGGCCUGGGCCUUGGCGACUUGGGCCGUAGGUGAAGGGGGACGAGUGAGCUGGGGGCAAGACGCGCUGGCGGGCCGUGGUGCUGCGUCGCUGGGCCUUGCGCGCGAAAGGGCCAAGCAUGGAGGAGGGAGGGCGCUGGUCGCGUGGGCCAAAGGGAGAAAAGAAAAGAAAAAAAAAGGGUAGGAGGGGAGUAGGAAAUGGAUUUUGGCCCGAAAGAGAAGGAUUUUCCAUUUACGAACUUGACUCAAGGGCUUUGAGAGAGAAAUUUAAAAAGGGGAAAGAAUCGAGGGGGAUUCGAGAGAGAACUCGAAAAGAGAUUAAGAUGAGUUGCCAUGAAUUCAAGAUGGAUUUAGCGGUAGGGAUUUAGAGAGG